rnacentral:rRNA from 1 species
AUGAGCUGGUUCAUCUUGGGUGUCGUCCCCUUGUCGAAGGCGUGCCGGCGGUGGCGGCGUUCGCCGGCGGCUGUGGUGAAGCUCCGGGCCGUGUGUCGGCUUGUGGACGUGCGCGGCGCUGCUGUGGCCAUGGCGGACACGGAGGCGGCGCGCGGUGAGUCCACGACAUGUGGUGUGGUCGGGCGCGUCGGGUGCGCGCGGGACGAUGCGGGACGCACUGGUGCGAUCGGGCUCGUCGGGCGCGUCGGGUGUGCGCGGGACGUGCUGGACGUACUGGUGCAGUCGGGCUCGUCGGGGCGCCGAAGGACGCCAGGCGUGUGUCGCCGGCGGCGAAGAAGCUUGGCGUAUGUCGCCGGAGUCGUGACGGAGCACGGUGGUGACCGGCGUCAGUGCGCCAGGUCGAGUCCGUGGCGAUGGCCACCGGCAUCGGUGCGCCAGAUCGGGUCCGCGGGCUGGGUCACGGCUGUGACGACGACAACGACAAAAGCUGCAACAACUUCGGCGACGAUGAGGGCAUGA